rnacentral:rRNA from 1 species
GUAGCUGUUCUGAGAGGAUGAUCAGCCACACUGGAACUGAGAGACGGUCCAGACUCCUACGGGAGGCAGCAGUGGGGAAUAUUGGACAAUGGGGGGAACCCUGAUCCAGCAAUGCCGCGUGUGUGAAGAAGGCCUGAGGGUUGUAAAGCACUUUCGGUGGGGAGGAGGAUUGAUUGGUUAAGAGCUGAUUGAUUGGACGUUACCCAAAGAAGAAGCACCGGCUAACUCCGUGCCAGCAGCCGCGGUAAUACGGAGGGUGCGAGCGUUAAUCGGAAUUACUGGGCGUAAAGGGUGCGUAGGUGGUUAUAUAAGUUAUCUGUGAAAUUCCUGGGCUUAACCUGGGCGGGUCAGAUGAUACUGUAUGACUGGAGUAUGG